GAUGACUUUCUAGUUCCAAGGUUAAGUGAGAAUUCCAUGGGGUUACACAGAAAAGCAACUCAAUGUUGGAUAGAUCACUGGUCUUCGACUGGUGAGUUGGGAUCCCACAGCCUGAUCCAUGGUGGGUUGGAGCAGGAACACUACAACCAUGCAAAUAUCUAUGGUAAAGGAUUAAGAGACGGCUCCUCCAAUUUAUGUUUGGGUUAAAAGUGGGUCCUGGGUCUGGAAAGGAUGAAGAUAUCUCAAAUGAUCCAAAUUUGUUAUUAGUGUUGGCUUUAACAUAUUUGUUUUGGAAUUAAGAGUCAAGUUUCCUUUUAAACCAGGUUCUUUUAAAAAAUAUACUUGAUUUUAUUUUUGUUUUUUUUUUAAAGUUCCAAAUAAUUUGUAACAAUCUGAUCUGUUUGUUUGUUUUAUUUUAAAAGGAUGUCACCCUCCCUGUAAUCUACAUAUAGGAUUGAAUGGUAUCGUAGCCUGGGAGAGUUCUUUCAUUCACUGUGACAAAUUAUGGCAGAACUGUAAUGCAGUUUUCUGCUUUGUUCAUGCAAAGAAUCUACUUAAAAGUACUUGAUAUGAUUAUGGUAUUCAAAGUGGGGAAGUGUCAUCCUCACGCUUGACUUUUUCUUUUUUCAUCUUUGGACUUUGUUGGCUGCUAAGGUUGCGAUUACUACAGCCCAGAGCUGAACUCCCAAGAAAACUACAAGAAAUUCCAUGUGAAGGAAGGAGAUCAAGUUCAAGCUUUCGUCAGCUUGACCUACUUCUCUCUGGAAGAUGUGCAUGGAGGGAAAACUCUACUAGCAAAAUGGGUGGUGGAAUAUAUAGAUAUCUAUUUAGCAAAAUUUAUAUACCGCUUGAUAGUCAAAAAUCUCAAAGUGGUUUACAAAAAUAAGAAAGUAAAACAUUAAAAUUAUCAAUUAAAAACAGUUGAAAGACUUGCAUUUAAACAUACAGUGGUACCUCAGGUUAAGUACUUAAUUUGUUCCAGAGGUCCGUUCUUAACCUGAAACUGUUCUUAACCUGAAGCACCACUUUAGCUAAUGUGGCCUCCUGCUGCCGCCACGCCGCUGGAGCAUGAUUUCUGUUCUCAUCCUGAAGCAAAGUUCUUAACCCGAGGUACUAUUUCUGGGUUAGCGGAGUCCGUAACCUGAAGUGUAUGUAACCUGAAGCGUAUGUAACCCAAGGUACCACUGUAUUCAAAGUCAACAGUAGCAAAAAAGAAAAUGCAUGUAAUUUCUACAUUUCUGCGUUACCACUAAGCUCUUUGGGCAGGAUUCAACCAACAAGCCCCACCAGCUGAAGGCAACACGAAGACUUCUGCUGGCGCAACAGGGCUUUCUCACCUCUCCUCCCCCGGAGCGCUCCCUUCAAAUUUUUUUUUUGGGGGGUGUCAGGAGAACCCCGGAACUGCGUGCUGGGGGAGGCGUGGGCAGAUAGUUCCAUCAGGCAAGCAGAAACACAUGUGCUGACGGCGCAUCCUGCUUAACGCUACGUUGAAUUCCUCGCUUUGUUUUCAUGCAUGGAAUCCUGCGUCAACACAGGCUAUUUGUAAGCUUUAUAGAAGCCAGGCAGCAGGCUCCUUGCUAUUAGUUCCAUUACGCCAAGAGGGAUUUUUGUCUCUUGGUAUCCUGGACAACAGUUCCCCAUGAUGCAUGGUAAACGGAACAGUUGUUGAAAGUGACUGGAGUUUCAAAAGCGACAUGCAAUAUAGGAAAAGGUGAGGGGGUGGAUCUGCUGUUCAGAGGAAAAAGAAUAUUUCUCUAGGCACAUGGAAGUCUUUGGGCUUGCUUAUUCUAGCAUCCAAACUGCCACUUAGGUUAGCAAAAGCACACAGAGAGAAUAGAGAUGCUUCACCAUGAAGCAGAGUGAGGCAUUCUCUUGAUAGAAGUUGCUAUAUAAGACCUAAGUCCUAGUAUUGUUGUUAGAUGGAAAGUAUUCUUUUUCCCCUGACCAGUUUCUUUGGGAGGGAAAAUCAGUAAGAUUUUCCAGUCCAGGCUAGGCCUCUCUUAUCACUCUUUCCACUGCACCAGUUCAGAAAGAUUAAACACACUUAAUCUUCGGUGCAAACAUACAGAGGAGGGCUUUCAAUUUAAUCAUUCCUUCUUCUUGCUCAAUUAAUCUUUACUCUUUCUCUGACUCCAAUACCUAAUCGCUUCCCUUCCCUUUGGAAGUGCUCUUUUUUUCCCUUUUUAGAUGUGAGAGCAUACUGACGUCUGAGUGUGUGUGUAGUGCAGGUUUCAGGCAGAGAAGAUGUAUUGCUUUAAAAUGGAAAAGACUGCUUAAAGCUUAAGCGCUAUGAAGUUUUCAUCACAAUUCGUUUUACGCAGACCUGGAAAAUGGAUUAAAACCAGAGGGCCAGACAAAAGUUGUAUCUAGUGAGCUGUAUGUUCUCACUCUCUUAAAUAUUGUCAUGUUUCCCACAGGUUAAUUGUGGCUUUGUAUUCCGGGCUAAAUAGAAAAGCUCAGGUUUGUUUGUUUGUUUUGCUUUAUGGGCCAGAUUCCCCAAUUGCAUGAUAGAUAUACACAGUAAGAAAAUUGAUAUUUUCAGAAUGAUGCUAUUAAGGAUCAUGUUAGCAUGGCGGCAUAGCCAUUCAGUCAUGCACAUUUUCAGAAAAGGACCAAAUUUACACAACUGGUUGAGGAAUGCAUUCUGAUAAUUUUCAGUUAUUAGGGCCUGUGGAGUUGCAUACACAUGAUAAAGGGUAAAAUUCAACAGAGCCUAAUGCGAAAGUUCCUCCGUCUCCUUUCCCUGCACGCCCUUUAAAUCUGUUGAAUGUGUUCCCCCAAACCUCUAGAACAGAUUUUAGGACUGUGUAAGGAACGAGGGAGGAAGAGAAAGUGGAAAAGUCCCUGUGCACUAGUGGAACUCAUGCAAUUAUUUAGUUGAAUACUGCCCAGUGUUUCAUGGUAUUACUCAGUGAUUUACAUGAAGCGAGAAGUUAUUAUCACGGUUCAUAAAACACAAAAAUAGCUUUGAACAGUAAUGGAAACGAUUUUAAUGCGGCCACCUCAUGAGAAGAGAAGACUCCCUGGAAAAGACCCUGAUGUUGGGAAAGAUGGAGGGGACAAGGAGAAGGGGAUGACAGAGGACGAGAUGGUUGGACAGUGUUCUCGAAGCUACCAGCAUGAGUUUGAACAAACUGAGGGGGGGAAAUGAAAGACAGGAGUGCCUGACGUGCUCUGGUUCAUGGGGUCACGAAGAGUCAGACACAACUAAACAACUAAACAUAUGAAGCAAUGUCACAUGUAACGCUGCACAUGAUCAAAAACGUAAAAGCAGAAACUUAGACUUAUCUGUGUUUAUUUAAAAAGUGAUAUUUGUUUUUAAUUUAUCAGAUAUCUAUGCUGGACAGUAUGUUUUCAGGUUAGGAAACAUCAUUGCUAAAGUGCAGCCCAAUGCAUGGAAGGUUAGGCUUUUUGCACUUUCCGUGGUUCUGAUAUCUGUUUGUGCAGCCAUAAGAUUAGCAGCUCAUGACAAGCAUGGGAUGCUUCAUUCAGGAGGGCUGCUAGCUCCAGCUUGUUGCGGAAUGAGGAUGGGCAGGCCUUGGAAGCCAUGCCUGGCUCCAGACAUGAUCACCCUGGUAGACUGUCCUCUUUAUAUUUCUAUACUUUCAUAGAAAUAAUUUCUAUACUUUCAUAAAAAUACAACAAGGCAGUGUACAUCGUAUUGUACAUCGUAUGUACAAUGACAUGCAUAGAUGAUUCUUCCGUGCUACAUGGGACAAAUGCCAAUCAUAGCAGUGGAUCAGGAAGCUCUGGCAGGGCAUUCCACAUAGAUCAGGCUCAUUAUUUUUCCAUGUUCAGCUUUAGAAGAUCACAUGUUCAAUCCCUGGCAUCUCUAGGUAUGGCAGUGAAAUACUUCUUUAUGAAAUCCAAGAGUCACAGCCAUAAUACUGAGCUUACGUGGACCAGUGGUCUGGCACAGUAGAAAAACUGCUUCCUUAAAUGUGUCAAUUUUGAAACUGACAUGUUUAAUAAGAGAAAAGUCAACAUUUGUCAAAGAUUGGAGACCUCUCAUAGACUUUUUGUGGGAAAAGGAAACAAUGAUAGCUGGAUUUGAGGAAAGUGGCUUUGUUGGGUGUUAUAUUGGAUUGGACGAAGUGAGUAUUGUUUUUUAUAGUGGACAGAUGAAGAAUUAGAAGUUCUUUGUUUUCUUUUUCUUUUAACCUCUCUUCUAUUCUUUUUUUCCCUGUCCACCCCUUUUUGUGUUUUUAUUGUAUCUAGAUAAAAAUCUUGGUUUGGUUUAAAAAAGGGGGAGGAGAUAUUAAGUUUUGUAUUUUUCUCUAUAAACCUUAACAACAUUGAUUUAAAAAGAAAAAGAAAACUGUUUCCUAUCAUCCUAUGGCUUAGCUUAGUGUAUGUCUGAGCAGAACUGAAGUCUUACUUUAGUUUGAACUUGUCACGUUGGCUGAAAUUUGUGGUGAAGUAUUUGCGCCCGGGACUUCUUGGUCUAAAGUGUGAAUUUUUACUCUUUCAGCCAUGUUAAUAUUUCCUGUGGUCCCGCUCUGACUGCAGGCAUUGGCUAGGAAGUCAUGUGAACAUCACACCAUUUUAAAAGAUUUUCCACAUCAGUCCAACGAAUUUCUCCAAAUUGUUAAUUCUUAUGGCAGACUUUGGAAACUAUUAAAAAUUAUUGUUGGGUUGGGGAUUGGAAUCAUAUGCAUUUCUGAAAAUGGGUGAAUGAAGUCUUAAAGGUAAAGGGACCCCUGACCAUUAGGUCCAGUCGUGGCCGACUCUGGGGUUGCGGCGCUCAUCUCGCUUUAUUGGCUGAGGGAGCCAGCGUACAGCUUCCGGGUCAUGUGGCCAGCAUGGCUAAGCUGCUUCUGGCGAAACAGAGCAGUGCACGGAAACACUGUUUACCUUCCCUAUUUACCGGUACCUAUUUAUCUACUUGUACUUUGACAUGCUUUCGAACUGCUAGGUUGGCAGGAGCAGGGACCGAGCAACGGGAGCUCACCCCGUCGCAGGGAUUCGAACCGCUGAAUGAAGUCUUAGGAUGUGUUAAAUAUAUAUGUAUCAUGCCCUUGCUUUAAAUUAUAAAACUUUACCACUUGUAUGGAAACAAGGCAAAAUUUCUGUCCAAGUUUAAAGACAGAAUCCCAUAUAGACUUGGGCAUGUUGAUGACAAUUGAACUCAUGUCUAAGCACAUUUGAAAAUAGCUGUUUAUUGCUGAACAAACAUUCAUAGGCAACAUUGUUCUUCAUCAGAUACAUGUGGAAAAUAUGUUUCACUCACAUCAGUGGUACUUACUUCUAUGUAAUUGGUACACUGGUAACUUUUUUCCCUGUUUUUAGGAUUGAGGUUUAUGAUGUGCAAAUAUUUCCAUUUUUUAUUUCAUGUGUCAAAAAGUAAACUGGAAAUAAGUCUCCUAUCUGGCAAGAGCUGUUUUGAAGAUACUCUGUUCUUGUUGGGUUUUGCAACCUUUUCAGGCUUUUGCAACUUUUAAUCACAUGCGUUUCAGUUCUCAGUACAGUACAUUGCUUUCCAGUGUGAAUUCAGCUGCAGAAAAGUUUUGGAACGGAUUGAUUUUUUAAGGCUGUUGAAUUGUGGGGAAGGAGCAGCAGUUCACAAGCUUUAUUUUCAGUUCUU